UUCGAUCAGGCGCUCAAGUCCGAGCGCGAUCUGUUCCUGAAGCUGAUGAACGGCGAGCAGUCGAAGGCGCAGCGUUACGCAUUCUUCUCGGAGCGCGAAGCUGCCAAGGUAUCUGGUGUGCCAGAUGGCACCAAGCCGCGCGACGUGAAGCAGGUCGCCAUCAUCGGCGCCGGCACCAUGGGCGGCGGCAUCGCGAUGUCGUUCGCCAAUG
rnacentral:misc_RNA from 1 species